UACGUAGGGGGCAAGCGUUGUCCGGAUUUAUUGGGCGUAAAGAGCGUGUAGGCGGUUAGGUAGGUCCGUUGUGAAAACUCGAGGCUCAACCUCGAGACGCCGAUGGAAACCAUCUGACUAGAGUCCGGAAGAGGAGAGUGGAAUUCCUGGUGUAGCGGUGAAAUUCGUAGAUAUCAGGUGGAACACCAGUGGCGAAGGCGGCUUUCUGGACGGUAACUGACGCUGAGACGCGAAAGCGUGGGUAGCAAACAGG
rnacentral:rRNA from 1 species